UCUCCCCUAGCUCAGCUGGUUAGAGCGUUCGACUGUUACCUCCUAAGGAAGCCGCAAUCGAGAGGUCGACAGUUCAAUCCUGUCGGGGAGAG
rnacentral:tRNA from 1 species